UACAGAGGGUGCGAGCGUUGUCCGGAAUUAUUGGGCGUAAAGAGCUCGUAGGCGGCUCGGUAAGUCAGGUGUGAAACCUCCAGGCUCAACCUGGAGACGCCACCUGAUACUGCUGUGGCUAGAGUCCGGUAGGGGAGCGUGGAAUUCCUGGUGUAGCGGUGAAAUGCGCAGAUAUCAGGAGGAACACCAGCGGCGAAGGCGGCGCUCUGGGCCGGAACUGACGCUGAGGAGCGAAAGCGUGGGUAGCAAACAGG
rnacentral:rRNA from 1 species